AGCCCGGACCGUCGUCUGAGAGGAAUUACGGAUUGUAUUAUCCUAAUGGUACUCUAGUUUACGAUAUUGGAUCAGCCUCAGCCACAGCCACAGCCUCAGCCUCAGCCUCAGCCUCAGCAUCAGCAUCUGUAUCACCAUCACAAGGUUAUCUUCCACUUCCGCAAAUGGAUUAUUCAGCUUCAAAGAAAAAUGUCAUAUCUUUCUUUAACGUCCUCCUCCUCCCCGUAGCCUUUUUAGUAUGUGCUCUAUAGAAGGGACGACUCCAGAAAAUAAGCAGCCAAAUUUUAACUCCGCUCGUUGGGGCGGACAUUAGAGGGAGUCGAGCAUCCGUAAAUCUAUUAGAAUCCGAGAAAUUUCAUAUACAUACGGUCAUAGUAUCCUUGGACAUCAGAUGUUUCAAGGGAGAAGGUAAUUUGUCGGGAGAAAUUGAAAUAAUAAAGGGUUGUAUCACCAAACAACAUUGAUAGAUUAUUCUUAGGGGAUAGUUCACUAGCACGUAUCAUAAUAUUAUUGUUAUUUAUGAAUAUCUAUAGUUUAGGUUUGCUAUUUAUUCAUUAAACUUCUUGCUGAUUCCACCUAAUACAAUAAGUUUAUCUUCAUUGAAUUUAA